AAAUUGAAGAGUUUGAUCAUGGCUCAGAUUGAACGCUGGCGGCAGGCCUAACACAUGCAAGUCGAACGGUAACAGGAAGCAGCUUGCUGCUUUGCUGACGAGUGGCGGACGGGUGAGUAAUGUCUGGGAAACUGCCUGAUGGAGGGGGAUAACUACUGGAAACGGUGGCUAAUACCGCAUAACGUCGCAAGACCAAAGAGGGGGACCUUCGGGCCUCUUGCCAUCAGAUGUGCCC
rnacentral:rRNA from 2 species